AUUACACCCUUGUGCAGUUUCAAAGACAUUUCAUGAGAUACAAAUGUUUACAGGGCUUUGUGCAAAUAUCUGGAGCUUAGGUUUUAAGAUUGGUUGUGCAUAUCAACCAUCUCAUAAAGAACAUCUAUACACAAUCAGUGUUUUUAGUGUGGAUAUACUUCUCCACAUCCUUCCUUCAAAUACUUUUUGUCUUCGCCUUUUUUGCUUCUGAUCUGCAACUAGAGAUUACUAAAACAGCUCCAGUCUGAAGUUAGUGUUUUUUUAGACAAAUCUGCCUGUUCUCCCAUUUUUUGUUGCUUCAUGAUGAGUAGAACGCCUUCAUUUUUCAGUCUGAUGUGGUUUGGUGAGUAUAAAUAACUCACCUGACUAGCAGAUGCAGAAAUGUUGUAGAUAUAUUAAUUCUAGGUAACUUCCAUAUUCUUUUCUAUGUGACUACUCACCUGACUAGCAGUCGCCAGAUGUGCAAACUAUAUGUUCUUUUGGUUCUCUUUGUUAGCGGAUACUUCUUCUAUGUACCCAAUAAAAUGAAACGGUGCCUUUUUCUUUUCAUUUAACCAAUGCGAAAGGCAGGGUCGCGCUAUGCUGCGCCCCAAAAUUCGGUUGCAGUCCAAGCAUUCUGAUACAUGGAGACUGUCGAAAAUGUCCGGAAGGGCUUCAACUAUGCUGAGCUGGAAAAACAGGAGAAUGCGAGCCAGGUCCUUCUCUGGAAGAUGAAAGAAAAUGAUCAAAACAUGGAGAGAAGUCCAAUAAUAAGCUGAAAGAAGUUGCCAGAUCCUAUGCACCUUGGAUGACAGAUUGUGGCUACUGAUCUUAAUCAAUAAGCGUUGGAGUCACAUGACAUGCUCAAGACCAUAGGGCCUUGUUCUAUAUAUGACUGAAUCUGAAUCAUUUGUGUUUAAUGUUUUUUCUGAAUUAUAUGUAAAUAAUGGAACAACUCUCUGUAAACCCAAAUGGAAUGCCUCCAUGUUAUUUUUGGAACCAUGUAUUAGUAUCUGUACGUAACAUAUUUUCCCUGUUUUCUCC